ensembl:lncRNA
AUGCAUGUUCAGACUCCCAAGACACCCGGAAAAGGAGGAGGAUCUGCCAAAAGCAUUCCAAGAAGAGAAGAAACCAACGCCAGGGAGAGAUUCUUUUAUACACAUUAUGGCAGCUGCACAUGGCCUCCGUCAGUAGCUGGGGCCAGGGGGUGUGAGGACGGUGACCUGGAGCCAAGGAGAGGGCCGCGGGAACCGAACACCGGAUUCCCUAUGGUGUUGCGCUGUGGGAGUCCAAUGUCUGGUCCUGGAGCCUCAGAGAGCGCGCUGGUGGUCCUUUGGGACCUUCCCUUUCGAGCUUUAGAACAAGGAACUGAAGAACGCGCAGGAAAAGGCUGCCUGGACCAGCGGGACAUUCGCUGACGCGAGGGAGCUGGGAAGCCUGGAGUGAGUCUUCGCCGAUGCCGCGGCAGCCAUUAGAGAAACUGAGCCACGAUCACACGGCGGGGAGUUGGUCUUCAUUUUAUUUGAUCGUCAAAGGAUCGGAUAACUCAGCAAGGCGUCGAUGUCUGCAUCUCAGGAAGCACUGAAAACUUUAGAAAGGUGUUCGCACUUCGGAGUGGCUUCUUCUGAACGUGAUGGACAGAAGAAAAGCCUCUUACCCGCAGGAAAGUAUGGCUGUUCCUGUGUCUUGACCGUGCCAGAUCCGGCAGACACCGUGUGAGCGCAAUCGACUGUCCAGCGACUUGCGGAGCCGAGAGCGCAGUGGUGGUCACUUCCCUGAGAGGUGGUGCCUGCUGAGUUGGGGACCCAGAACGCUACUCCUCAGCCUCGAGUAGCAUCCUGGAAGUCUCUCCGACAAGUCUGAGAGUGUUCAGGGAUCACAGCCUGCAGAAAGAAAAGGGAGAAAAUGCAUAUGAAAGCACUUUGUCAACUGUAGAGGAUUAGAUGGCAAGAUUACCAUGUGCCUCUGAAAAUUUCGUAUAUAAAUGCAGGGACAAUUGGUAAGAAAACAGUAGGUAGAGUUCUGGUUUCGUUUCAUUGUCUCUGUCCCCUGUCCUUUAGCUCCCACUGUCAUCUGAAGUUGACGUUUACUGAAACUUUACUUAUAAAAUCCAGUGUUUCUGCUUUCUUUUUCUUUUGUAAAGUUAAGCUGCUCAUAAACUUGGCUUCAGAAUUAACCAGGGAUCACCCUCCAUUCAGAGGCACAAAAUUACCAUUUGUACAGAGGUAUGUUUAAAGGAAACUUCCUCUAGUGUAGGCCUGGAAAUGUGGAAUAAUAAUUCAAACACAGUGAGUCACAGCUAUGACUCAAUUUUACUUCUCAUGUUAAUAUAAUAUAAAAACUAGCCACAGUAGGCUUUUCUCUCAUUUGAAAAAUUGCAAAAGUUAAAUAAAUACUCUGCCGAUAUCUUGCUGCAGGGAGAAUAUAAUUUGAGAAAUCAUGGCACAUUUCACUUUAGCACCUUAGAUGAUCAUUUAUCAGUAAUUUCCUAAGCAAAAAUAGAGACACUAACCAUCAAUGUGUAUAACAAAUUUUGUGCAGAACUUUGAAAACUUUCUUGCCUGGAUUUGGGACAGGUGGCAAUAUUUUAUAAAACAGACAACUCAGGAUGAUUAUGUUAGAAAUUAUUAUUGGUGUUGGUGACAACAGAAGGCUUUUAGAGUAAGAUUCAGUUAAAAUGAAAGGAUAGUUGAAAGGAUCAGAAAAAUAAAAUACUUAUAACAGAAAAGAAAAAAAUCUAUGUUGAUUUGGAAGUAGAAGCUUAGCUGACCAAGGGGAGGGGUGGAGGAGUGCCUUCCCCUUUACUAGGGGUCAGCCCUCCACUCUCUUGGUGGCAAGCCUCAACUGUCAGAGCCUGGGUUUCCUAUCACUGCCCCCUACUGCUCAGGGUUGCAUUCCUCUUCUUCACCCCUCCACAGCCCUGAGCUUCAGAGUACUUUACAGUUCCCUAAAGUGAUGACCUAGGGCACAUUUUUUUUUUUUAAUCCCCUGGCCCACCAAAACUUACUAGAUUUUUCUCCAGGCCUCUCGAGGUUCCAAGAGCUAAUAGAUAAGCUUAUUCAUAUGGAGGUGCUAAUGGAUGGUUUAAUGUGUUCUCUGGUCCAACCUGUUACAGCCGCCCUAAAACUCAUGUUUUCAAUGCCUUUAAAAAGAUGGGACUAGAAGUAGAAAUUGUAGGCAGCAUUGCUACAAGGGGAGAUACUCAGGGGGAGGCUGCUUGUAAGGAAUAUCUUACUUAUUUAUAUGGUGAACUGGCCAGAGACCAUCUCUAGCAGUGAGUGAAUUCACUUAUCCUCUAAAUUAGUAGUGAAAUCUUUUCUUCAAACGGAAGGUUACCUGGAAGUCUAACACGUGAAAUCAGUUCAAAAUAACUACCUUGGUUGAAAGGAGACUGAUGGACCUAUUACCUUGAAAACUAGGAUAACAUUAAUAGUAGUCAAUCACCCCCAUCUUUUUCACUUCUUCCCUGGAGCGCUCCCGGGAAUACAGUUUUAACAUUAUUAUUUUUUCAUGAGGUCAGCAUGGAAGAUAUAAACAUCAUUUAUAAAAAUAAGAAACAAUUAAUUGGAGGUAGAAAGAAAUUGUAUAAUUAGAAGCAUUUUCAGUGGCCAUGAUGAGAAUAACAGUACAUAUGUAUAAAAUAUGCAUACAAUUAAUAGAUCCCAUAGUCACAGAUUCAUAAAUAUGUUUAUAAACAAUGAUUACUGGAAAGCGUUCACUUUUAUAUCUUCUUUAAACCAAGUGUCUAGUCACCAUAUGGGUUGUCACCAUCUGCGCUGAGGAAUGUACAUUAGAAAAAUCACAAUUCAAGGUCUGGGAAGAGAGCCACAGGAAUAAAAUGAGGAGAACAUUGUGGAGAUAUAUUUUCUGUUAUCCCCAUUCAAAAUAGAUCAGCCUGCACUGAUAACAGCUGCAAAAACAAUUGGGGACCUUAUUCCUGAAAUCAAAGGCAAACUGCCAGAUGGCAACCAACCAGAGGAACUGAGGAUGAAGAGGAUUGCAAAAUGCUGGGGAAAUAGAGAACAAAUCCUUUGGAGAAUAAACAUGUCUGUAUCUUUGUUAAAAUGUAGAAAUCAGAAUUUUUCCCAAACUUUCAAGUAAUAGAGAAUAAAAUAAAAACAAUAAGUGUUUGUUAACCAGAAAGUUUACCUAUGGAGAAAAACAAUUUUCUUAGUUGAAAAUGUGACAGCUGUUCAGGCUUCUCUGUCAUUUUUCUUGUCUCUCUUCAUAAUCUCUAUAUAAUCCAGAAACAGCCAGUAAAAGAAGAGAAUCUCUGCCUCUUUAAUUACUUCCUGUAAGUUUGAUAAGUACUACCUCAGCCUCAUUGGCUAUGCUACGUCUAAAUAAGCCACUCUUUCAAAGACAGCAUAAUUAUUUGCAUACACUUACUCCCCUAGCUAUAUAUCAUGCCUAUCAAAACUAAGUGCUUCCAACCUACCUUAACAGUGUCUUAGCAUUUAUCUCACUUGAGCAGUAUGUUUAACUAUUAAAUGUUACUACAUUCUGUGUCGGUAAAUAUUCAAACCAUUUAUGAUCAUAUAUACUCAUAAUCUGAACUAAAACCCAGAACAGAAUUUAUUAAAAUUGAGGACAAAAAUAAAUGCAUUCGUUAUGACAGAUCAGAAUUAUUGAUUCCUACUUAAUCUUACUCACACCUGAAUAUUUUGUAACAUAAUUUUUAUAUUUAUGAGACUUCUAGGUGAGUGAGCUUGUAAGUGAGUUUGUGAAAAUGUGUGUGUGUGUGUUUAGUGGGGAAGGAAAUAGUCACCAAGAAAAAUUGAGCUACUAAAAUUGUAAGCCUAAAACACUGACAUUUUCCAUGGAGUUCUGAUAAAAAAAAAUAGUUUCAAGUUUUUAAAAGCAUCAAUGCUGGUAUAGAUAAAAAUAAUCUACAUUAAUUUUGAAAAACUACGCCAAGUGUCGUUGUUUAUACCUGUAAUCCCAGCACUAUGAGAGGUCGAGGCAGGAGUAAUGAUUGAGGCCAGACAUUCAAGACCAGCAUGGGCAACAUAGUGAGGUCCCAUCUCACUAUGUAUGCAAAUACAUGCAUACAUACAUACAUACUAAAAUUGUAUUUAUUGGUUCAAGAUACAUUUUUUUCUAAGAAAAAUUGUGUCUUUGUAGAUGAUAUUUAAGUCUUGGGCACUGAUUUAAAUACAAGAUUAAUAAAAAAGAAAUAAUUCCAAUUCAAGGUACAUGUCUGGGAUAUACAUUAAGGUUCUAUUUUUGUGAAAUCAAGGGAAUAUCUGACACAUGCCCAGUUAGUUUGAUGCAUUAAAAGCAGCCAAUUUGAUAGUUAAAGGCUCUUUUAACAAAUGGGUUUUGAGGCAUUCUAGCUUAUCUGGUUUGAUGCUCUGUUGGUUAAAUAAACCAUUUGAUUCCAAAUAUCUACUUUAUUAUAUUCGGUAUGAUAGUUUAAAUUAGUAAUGCUAGGUACAGUGUUUAACUAUGAAUGAAACUGACUUUGCUUCCAAUGCUUGACUUAGGCAUUAUUUUAUUUCUUUAUAUAAAACAUCAUUUUGGGGUUUAUCACUGCACAAAUUGAUAUAUAUGGUUAAAACAAGAAGAAACUGUAGGGUAUUUAGGAAGCAGCAACAAGGUGGGUGGGCCGUCAUGUCAUUUCUAAUAGGUGCAAUGUGAAAUGGAUAUAGAUGUAAUUACGAAAAAAGUUUCAGUGCAAACACACCUUUAGUGAACUUGGAAUGCUGCAGGGAUGGGAGGUUCUAAAAUGAAACAAAAUCAUCCAUUACAAAUCAGCAAUUUUGCUAAUCUUUGUAUCAGCAUAUGUAUCAG